UACGUAGGGUGCAAGCGUUGUCCGGAAUUAUUGGGCGUAAAGAGCUCGUAGGCGGUUUGUCGCGUCGAAUGUGAAAACCCGGGGCUCAACCCCGGGCCUGCAGCCGAUACGGGCAGACUAGAGUUCGGCAGGGGAGACUGGAAUUCCUGGUGUAGCGGUGAAAUGCGCAGAUAUCAGGAGGAACACCGGUGGCGAAGGCGGGUCUCUGGGCCGAUACUGACGCUGAGGAGCGAAAGCGUGGGGAGCGAACAGG
rnacentral:rRNA from 1 species